rnacentral:rRNA from 1 species
ACACAUGCAGUCGAACGAAGUCUUCGGACUUAGUGGCGGACGGGUGAGUAACGCGUGGGAAUCUGCCUUCAGGAGGGGGAUAACAGAGGGAAACCUUUGCUAAUACCCCAUAUGCCUAUGGGUGAAAUGAAUUUCGCCUGAAGAUGAGCCCGCGUCUGAUUAGCUAGUUGGUGGGGUAAAGGCCUACCAAGGCGACGAUCAGUAGCUGGUCUGAGAGGAUGAUCAGCCACACUGGGACUGAGACACGGCCCAGACUCCUACGGGAGGCAGCAGUGGGGAAUUUUCCGCAAUGGGCGAAAGCCUGACGGAGCAACGCCGCGUGAGUGAUGAAGGCCCUUGGGUCGUAAAGCUCUUUUGUCAGGGACGAUAAUGACGGUACCUGAUGAAUAAGCAUCGGCUAACUCUGUGCCAGCAGCCGCGGUAAUACAGAGGAUGCAAGCGUUAUCCGGAAUUAUUGGGCGUAAAGCGUACGUAGGUGGCGAUUCAAGUCUGUGGUUAAAGCCUGCAGCUCAACUGCAGAAAGGCCAUGGAAACUGAAACGCUAGAGUGCGAUAGAGGUAAGGGGAAUUCCCGGUGUAGCGGUGAAAUGUGGAGAUAUCGGGAAGAACACCAGCGGCGAAAGCGCCUUACUGGGUCGCAACUGACACUGAGGUACGAAAGCCAGGGGAGCAAAUGGGAUUAGAUACCCCAGUAGUCCUGGCCGUAAACGAUGGACACUAGGUGUUGCGCGUAUCGACCCGUGCAGUGCCGUAGCUAACGCGUUAAGUGUCCCGCCUGGGGAGUACGCACGCAAGUGUGAAACUCAAAGGAAUUGACGGGGGCCCGCACAAGCGGUGGAGCAUGUGGUUUAAUUCGAUGCAACGCGAAGAACCUUACCAGGGCUUGACAUACCGUGAAUUCUGGGGAAACUCGGAAGUGCCUUCGGGAACAUGGAUACAGGUGCUGCAUGGCUGUCGUCAGCUCGUGUCGUGAGAUGUUGGGUUAAGUCCCGCAACGAGCGCAACCCUCGUUUUCAGUUGCCAUCAUUAAGUUGGGCACUCUGGAGAGACUGCCGGUGACAAACCGGAGGAAGGUGGGGAUGACGUCAAGUCAGCAUGGCUCUUACGUCCUGGGCUACACACGUGCUACAAUGGGUCGGAUAAAGGGUAGCAAUCUCGCGAGAGGGAGCCAAUCCCAAAAACCGCCUCUCAGUUCGGAUUGUAGGCUGCAACUCGCCUACAUGAAGUCGGAAUCGCUAGUAAUCGCAGGUCAGCAUACUGCGGUGAAUACGUUCCCGGGCCUUGUACACACCGCCCGUCACACCAUGGAAGCUGGUCAUGCCCGAAGUCUGUAUUCUAACC